ACGAACAAGCCGGACGGGCCAGCGUCCGUCGGGCUAAACCUAACCUAACCUCUAACUGUUAUGGUUGUUUUGCUUCCUUUUUUAAACCUUAUAAACAAAGGAUUAUCACGUCCCCACCGCAAUUUUAUAGCUACGUAAAUAAAACUAUACCGCCGCCAUAGAAGGUGUGAGAGCACAACUAGGUCUAUGGGACGUUGACAAUUACUCCAUCCCUGUCACGAGCAACCGCUAUACGGAAACUGGGAAAAUUGGUCGUUGAAUUCUUCAAUAAUGAAAUAAUCUUCGUACAUUGCUGUAAUCAACAAAAACGAAAUCUCAACUCGAAGGAGGACAACAAUGUACGUAGGCAAUAGCUUCUCUAUAUUUUGUGUACGUACGUAUGUCGGAGUGUGUAUCAACUUACCAGACAGUGAAGGGGUUAAGAAGGCCACUGAAAAACCAUGGAAUUCAUUCCAAAUGGAAUAGUAUUUAAUGAGGUAAAUUGGUGAAUCCACAUCCAACUUCAGUUAUCGGCUACCGAUGCAAACUUAAUGUAAAUUAAGGGUUUUCAACGCAAACCUCAAAUUUUAGCGGGGUUGAGAUUGUCGGAUUUUUUUUCGAAUCAAGGCCGUUGACUACAGAAUAUGAAGACAGUUUCCCUAAUGGCUUUGGUGUGACAACCGAAAAUCGUCGUGCGCUUGCGCUCCCGAAGAUGUUCCAACGGUAUUGUUGAAAACAUAUUGCAGAACAUCAGAGAGUUACCGAUUUUGACCCGAUACUGGCUGCAUUCACCUUCCUAGUAACACAGUCUUCGCAAUGGUGGUUGGCGGUGGUUAGAGGUGGUCGGAGAUGGUUAGGGGUGGUCGUUGGUGGCGGAUGGCAGCGGUUGGAGGUGAUCGAGGUAGACAAGGAGAAGGACAAGGGGGAGAAAGACGAGGAAGACAAGGAGAACGAGGAUUUCUGCACGACAUAACCAGAGGUGGUCAGCGGUGGUCGUUGAAGGCGGUUGGCGGUGGUUGGAGGUGAUCGGUGUAGCUUGAGGGUGGUUGCGGGUAAUCGUGGGAAACGAGGAGUGGGAGGACUAUUGCACUAUUCCGACGUAAUUUUGCGAGAGAAUUCGAUUGAGCGCAGUACUAACACGCUGCGAUCAACGCAUCUGAAGUUACAGCCAAAAAAGGAGAACCUGUGUUUUCGAC